rnacentral:tRNA from 1 species
UAAUCUUAUAUUAAUAUAUUGCCAUACGGCAUCCUAUAUUAAAAUAUACACUAUAUAA